CUGACGAGCACGCCGCGUGAGUGAAGAAGGUUCUUCGGAUCGUAAAACUCUGUUGUUAGAGAAGAACAAGGAUGAGAGUAACUGUUCAUCCCUUGACGGUAUCUAACCAGAAAGCCACGGCUAACUACGUGCCAGCAGCCGCGGUAAU
rnacentral:rRNA from 1 species